CUAUGUUUGGGAAAUUUUCCUGAAUUAUUUCUGUGAAUAACUCACAUUCUUUAUUCUCAAGUUAUAGAUCCUCUUGUUGUGUUCUAGCCUUUGUAUUGUUAUUGCUUGCUUCCUUGUAUUUUUAAAAAGUUUUCCCUUUCAUAAUCCCACAUUAAAAUAUUGUCCUCCAGUUCAGAUACUCUAUCCUUAGUUUCUUACAAGCUGAUUUGCAUCUUUCCAUAGAGUUUUUAAUUUCCUGGUAAUCUCUUUCAAUGUGCUUCAUAUAUUCUAUUUUUUAUGUUCUUUAUCAAAUGGUUCUCUCCUUUGUUUGUGUUCUUCCCUUCUUCUAUCUGUGUCUGCUUGAGGGGUGCUUAAUAUCUCUUUUAUUAGUCUUCUUACAUCUUGCUUUACUUGGCUAAAUAUUUCACUUUUGAACUCGUCUAUGAGGUCCUGAAUAUGUCUCUUUAUGUCUACUGGCACCGUGUGUGAUAUUGCAUGUUUGAUGUUCUCAUUUCCCUUAGUAUUUACCCUUCCUGGAUCAGUGUUCUCAGGGUUGGGACCUGGGGACUUUUUGUUGUUGCUUCCUCUUCCCAUAUUUUUUACUUCUUCCAGGAGGCCCCAGUUUCUUUCUUUGUUGGUUGCAAUUCUUCUGAAAUGCACUUAUUAGAUGACCCUUCCCACUGCUGUGUGCUAGUGAGUUGCACACGGGGACAGCGUAUGCUGGCCCUUCCCCUCUGGGUCAUUCAUGCUCCUGUGGCCUGCACUGUAUUACUUUGCACUGCCUCCCCUCCAGGUCAGUCAAGCUGCUGUAGCCUGCACUGUAUUACCCUGUGCUGCCUCCGCCUAGGUCAGUCAUGCUGCUGUGGCCUGAACUGCAUAUUACUUUGCGCCGCCUCCCCUCUGGGUCAGUCAAACUUCUGAGGCUCCACUGGGUUAGUGUGGUUAGUGUGCACCACCACUGUAAGGACUUGAUUUCAGAUAACUUAUUGGGUCUCAGCCAGAUCAUGUGACCCAGGCCUAGCUCACUCCAACAAUCCUGUUCGGCAAGAGAACAACUGACUGAAGUCACUGCUGCCCCUUGUACUUGCCAGUCCUGCACAGCCCCAGAAUGUCAUCUGCUGGAGCCCCCUUUGUAUGCAAUGGCUCCCCUCCUGUCACUCACCACAGGUUGAUGUAGGUACCCUGUCUACUCAGCUCUCUGUUCAGCUCACCGAUCCCCAAACUCAAUGUAAGUGUGCCUCCAGUGAGUCAAAGCAGUGGGACCUUGGACAGCUCAGCAAGUCGUGGUGGGACCCUGGAUGUUUGGACCCAGGCUGCCUUCUUCUGUGAAUAUUCAUUGCCUGAUGAGACUGCAGCUAAGACUGAAUCCCUGACCUCCAGAAUCUCACAAUUCAUCUGUCCCUAGAACACUGAAGAUUGGAAGACUGAUGGCAUCUUGAAAUUCUGAAGUUCCACUCCUCAUGCCUAUUGCCACUCCAUGUACAUUUAUUAAUCUCCUGUGGAGUUUAUCAGGCAGUUCCACCUGGCAAUACAGCACACUGGUGCAAGAUAAUGACAAAGAGAGAAAAUCCUACAGUUCAGGAGCUCUGGGAACCAAUGUUAUUCAUGGAACUAGAGGCCAUGAAUUCCAAAAGUUCAUGGCUUUUAUCAGUAUCAAUCAGAGAUGUGGGUCGGGGUCAUGGCUGAGCGUUUAGAAAGAGACACUUUGCAGGCAUUGGCUGUACCAGCCACAGAGGCUCUCCAAUUAGACAGGAUAUUUGAUGCUUGCAAAUCUGGAACCUUUCCUUCUUGGAUGGUGUAAUUCUUCCUUAGUCCCAAUGCUUCUGCUGAGAUACUGUCUUAUGUGUUAGCCCUGGAAUUGCAGAGGCCACUCCUGGAGCCCCCAUUCCAGGUGUCAACACUGUGGGUAAUGAUUACCUGGGCUUGAUCUCAUUCUUCUAGCUGGAUAAGGAAACCACCAGCUCCAUAUAACCAGCUCAGCAUAUCUCAAUGAAUAGAGUUGAAGGACAGGCAAAGGGGCUUGUUUCUCUGGAGAGCACAGCUUGGCAGUCUCCCAUAGACAUCAACACAAACUCUCUUGUGACUCAUUCAAGUACAUGACACUUAUCCUCCUUUUACUUUUCUCUCUCAUCUCACAUUCAAUAUGUCUGUAAAGCUUAUUUGCUCUAAUUUUAAAAUAUGACCAGAAUCUGUCCGCCUUUCAAUACAUCUACUGAUGGGUCAAAGCUCUGACAUGUGAGCACAUUGAGACAUGGAUAAAAGUAUCAGAGGAGGUGAAUGGGACUUUUUAAUAUUACUUUGGAAGUAGGGCCCAAAGGCCAACUUUUAGAACAGAUAUUAUUGUCCCAUUAUCAAACUCUUCAUUUUUGAAAGGCCACACCAGGAAACAAGCACCAUCUGAGAACCAGUGCCUUGCAGGCUGCCACUGGUCUGUGGACAGUCAGUCCUCAGCCCCUUCCAGCUUGCAGGAUGACAAACAAGAAGUAUCAGUGCACCCCCCACAAUUUCCCCAACCCAGAAACACAGGCUGUCAUGAUAGCUAUCAAUGUGAAAUGCAAUUGGAUGCCUGUGGUGCUUUGAUGUUUCACUGAUAUUGCAGAUAUAGGGCCAGUGGUCUGAUCGUAGGUUCAGGGGAUAGCUGUACACAAGGUGACAGCUAGAGAGGAUCUCCUUCUGAGGGUUCCAUCCAUUGUUGAUUCUCUAUGGUCUAGUUUUGAAAGUCAUAUAUUAUUUCCAUUCUUUUGUUGGGUUAGGUUUUAUUCUCUCUCUUUUUUUUUUUUUUUGAUUAUGUUAAGUCGGAUGGCAAGAGCAGCUGUUUCAAAGACAGCAGUAUGUAUUAUGGUAGCAAUUUUGGAUUUACUAUUGGCUUGUUUUGAAUUUCUUUAUUGCAUUUUUUGUUUUGUUUUUAUUGUUUGUAUUUUACUCUGUUCUGUUUGAUUUUUACUAUGUCCAAAGAUCUCUUCAGCUAUUUUGAAGACAACAAAAGGCAUUCUGUUAAUUAUUGCUGAUUUUGUAAUGUAUUAAAAUGUUGUAUCACUUA